rnacentral:rRNA from 1 species
AUGCCGCAGCUCCGUGGUGCGGGCUUCUUCGGCUACGUCGACGGCUCCAUGCCAGAGCCGGCCAAGCUCGUCGUCAUGAAGAACAAGGACGGGAAGGAGGAAGAUUCACCGAAUCCCCUUCAUCCGAUCUAGAUCCGUGAGGAUCAACAGAUACUUGGAUACCUCCUGAAUAACCUCUCCAAGGAGGUACUUGUGCAGGUCACAUCGAUCGACCAUGCGCAAGAACUGUGGACGACACUGUCGAGCAUGUUCUCGUCACAGUCCCUGUCCCGCGUCAACAACAUACGUGCCGCCCUCGCCAAUGCGCAGAAGGGGACACAGUCCGUGGCAAGCUUCUUCGGGCAUAUGCGC